rnacentral:lncRNA from 1 species
UAAAAAUCAUAGGUACACGCAUAUUUAUGAAAGUAAAAAAAAAAACUAAAAUGUAAUAAUAUAUAUGUAGAGGUAAAAAAAACUGCACGAAAUGUAUAUAUACAAGUACGUAUAUUACAUUGAAAUGCAUGUAUAUAUAAUUGUGCGUGCUUUUGAAAUAUAGAAAUAAGGAUAAAAAUAAUAAAGGGAGAAAAAAAAAUGGGCCAAACUGAAUUAAAACGAAAAAACGAAUUUAGAAAAAAUAAAUAAAAUAAAUAAAAUAAAAUCAGGACCAACUUAAAUGCGCGCAUAACAGUGGAGGACCAAAAGGGAAAUUAUCCCCUCCUUCCAAAACGCUGCGUAGCAAGGGACUAAAUUGAAACGGACAUCAAAUAUUCGGUCCAAUUUUAAAUAAGUAAAAAAAGGGUUUAAUUGGAGUGCGCUGCAAAAAGGAAG